UGAUGAGCCUUUGUCCCAUCAGCUAGUUGGUAAGGUAAUGGCUUACCAAGGCUACGACGGGUAGUUGGUCUGAGAGGACGACCAGCCACACUGGCACUGAAACACGGGCCAGACUCCUACGGGAGGCAGCAGUGGGGAAUAUUGCGCAAUGGGCGAAAGCUUGACGCAGCGACGCCGCGUGGGUGACGAAGGUUUUCGGAUCGUAAAACCCUGUCAGAGGGGACGAAUAAACCUUGGAGAAUAAUACCUCCUUGGCUUGACGGUACCCUCAGAGGAAGCACCGGCUAACUCCGUGCCAGCAGCCGCGGUAAAACGGAGGGUGCAAGCGUUGUUCGGAAUUACUGGGCGUAAAGCGCUCGUAGGCGGAGCAGGAAGUUGGGUGUGAAAGCCCUCGGCUUAACCGAGGAAUUGCGCUCAAAACCACUGUUCUUGAGUAUCAGAUAGGAUCGGGGAAUUCCCAGUGUAGAGUUGAAAUUCGUAGAUAUUAGGAGGAACACCGGUGGCGAAGGCGACUUCCUGGACCAAUACUGACGCUGAUGCGCGAAGGCGUGGGGAGCAAACAGGAUUAGAUACCCUGGUAGUCCACGCAGUAAACGUUGUUCACUAGGUGUAGCGGGUAUUGACCCCUGCUGUGCCGCAGCUAACGCAUUAA
rnacentral:rRNA from 1 species